CCUCAUUAAUCAGCGGCUUGUUGUGGAUGCCGGCGGAGGAGAUGCCACCCAGGGCGGGAAAAGGGGCGCGGAAGAGGGGCGGGGCGGGCCACGGCGCGCAGGGCCCUUCCCUCCCGCCUCGGACUCAAUUAAUUGGGCUUGAGCUUCCGCCGGGGAGGGGGCGCCGGGCGGGGCCGCGGCUGGGCGGGGCGGGGGAUCGGGAUCGGCGGCGGGGGCUGCGGCCUUGCAGUGGAAGCAUGGGCGGCGAGCCGGGCCGUGCUCUCGGGGCGCGGGGUCCCCAUUUUGGGCGAGGGCGGCCGCUCCCGCGCUCGGGGUGGGCGCGCCCCAUCCCCGUCCCCCGUUUCCCGUCCCCGUCUCCCGGCCGCAUCUCCGUCCCCCCGCAGCCGCGAAACGCGGGGAGGUUCCAGGGCCCGCGGCCGCGGGUUCGCGAGCACCGCGCUCCAGAUCGAGAGCGGCGCGCGCCCUUCCGUGGAGGACAGAGGGGCGCGGAGGGGGCGCCUGUGUCCCACCCGCUCGCGGGCGCUUUACGGGGCGUCCUCUGCGCCAUUCACUUGUCAGCUUGUCGGGAAGUUGAAAUCGCGUUUGGGAGGUAAUAGGAGAAAGAGAUCGGGGACGGCAGGCGGAGAAAGUGCGGUUUCCAUAGCGCCGGGGAGAGGGCGGACCCGCGAGCCAGCGGUCCCUGAGCCGGGAGACCGCGCGGGCGUCUCUCCAGCCCCCGCAGGAGCGCCGCCUUCCUUCCGCAGGGGCGUCCUCUCCCCCCACCGCUGCAGGAGCACCCCCUUCCUUCCUCGGAAGCGUCCUCUCACCACACCGCUUCAAGAGCCCCCCCUUCCUUCCACAGGGGCGUCCUUUCCCCCUCCGAGGCAGGAGCGCCCCUUUUCCCCCCACAGGAGCGCCCUCCCCACCCCAGGAGCGCCCUGCGCCCAGCAGACGGGCAGGUGGGCGGGCGUCCACUACCUGUGUGCGCGGUGCGGGCGGUGACUGCCAAGUUGGAGAUGCCCUUGGAGAACUGCUUCGAAUUCAUGUAUCUACUGGGCUUUUGUGACUUUCAAAGCCUAUAGCAAAUAAGCACCCCUGCAAUUACGUCUCCUCAAUGACCAAGUCAGGGUGAGGUGAGGGCUUCCUGAGUUCAGAUCCCAGCAAGCUCCCGAUCCUGCGCAACGAAGAAAACUCAACAAAACAGGCUUUGGCUGUUUAUUUUAUUUUUUUUUUAAUUGUGCCUUCAUGAAAUAAUUUACAGCAAUAAUUUAUCUUAUAAUAUUGGUUAUUGUUUUUAAGUCCCGGAUGUUUACUUUUGGAUGUCCUCUAUAAUUCAUAGAAGUAUCUUAAAAGUAAUAAAAUCUUAAUCUAAGAGAAAAUAAGUGUAAUUUUUGAAAGAGUGAUAUAUAUUUUAAUAUGUUUUUGUAACAUGUGACUUGAAGAUUGUGUUGGCUAAUUUUAUGUGCCAAGAGAGCCCUGACUAGUACAAAGAUUAUAGCGUUUUUAUUUUUAGCAUGUAUACAGUUAGGAUUAUUGAUCAGUAGCCUGAAUUUGGGAAGAAUAAUCAUUGUGGCAAAUAUCACCCAGUGUGCCUCAAAAAGGUGUGUUUAAAGUUGAUCUUCCAUUUUUAAAUCAUACCUUAAAAAAAAAUACCUCAAGAAAUGCCAUUUUAAGUCUGUGCACCUAUGUGUGCAUGUGUGCGUGUUUGUUUAUAUAAUAGAUUGUGUGAUUGUGUGUGUAUAGGUAUGUGUGUAUGAUUGUGUGUGUUGGGGGCGCCACCUUUAUGAACAUUAUGCUUCGGCGUUCUUUUUAGAUCUUGUUACCUUUUCUUACGUUCACAAAUGUUGCCUAGCAAUAUGUCUAGUCAGGAAAGAUGAAGGGAUUCUUAUCUUGGUGCUUGAAGAAAAUGUGGUGUAGUUUUAUUGGCUUUGUGAUCACUUACAUCCCACUUUUAUGAGGAUGUAAAUGGGCCACCUCUAUGUUCCUGUAUGUUGCCAGCCAUCAGUAGACAAUGCUAAAGGAACCACCACUUUUAAACAUCAUGUGAUGGUUUCUUCUGAGAAAGUAUAUUUUGCAAUCUUUUUCUUUUUCAUGUUGACUUUUAUUAUGCAGUUGCAUUUUCAUAUCCGUAUUGAACAUUUACUUGCUGUGCCUGUCACACGCUAGCAGGUGUCAUCUUUUCCUGUUUGCUUGUUUCUUGGGGCCAUCCUAGUGUUAAAGGCCAGUGUUUUUAAGGUGUCAGCAGCUCUGGAUUGGCAGUUAGCACUUUCCCCAUGUACUGCCUCAGUUACCAGACUGGGGACAAAAGAGAGAAGGUUAAAGAAUUAUCACCUAUGUCCGUGGUAUUCUGUCAUAGAGAGUAUAAAUUUCCUACAGCAAACUGGAAAUUAAUUGCAAUUCUGCAGUUAGAACCUCCAAAUACAAAUGUGGAUGAUACAAUUUCAAUUCUCAUUGAGAGUCAGCCCAUGAAACAAACCAACAGUAAGAAACUCUGUAAUUAGAAGUAUCCCAGUCCUCUUCCUCAACCGAGGAACUUGUUUUCUUUCCCCCUUUCUAUUGCCAGAUAAGCUAUUUAUUUAUUUAAAGCUUGUUCUACACCUUGUGAUUUUCCAACUGUUCUUCCAUACUUUUUCAACAAAAGUCAGCUAAUAACAUCUGCCAACAUGCUCUGCACGCAGGACUGGCUGGGGCUGGCAUGGCCUCUUGCCAGCAAACAGCCUGGUUGAAAUUUUUUCUCAUGGUCCAAGAUCUUUCCUUGGAAGCUUUCUUUCCUUUCACAGCUAAUAAAAUGGCCAUAUCUUUCAGCAGGGAGUUUUUUCUGUUUGUUUGUUUUUUCUAUUUUUAACAGAAUCAUAUACAAUAAUGAUUAUUUUAUUAGAAGUCUUCUGAAAUAAUUACUUUUCAAGAAAGAAUCAAUUAUAUAAAAGUGUAGAGAUUUAAAAAUAUGUUACAGGUUCACAAUACAAAUACUAGUAGCACUACCAAUAAUGAACAUCACUAAUUAUUUUCUUUGUUUCAUAUAGGAAAGGCAAGUAUGGGAGGAGAAAGGUGAAUAGCAUUUUAUUGCUUGUGAAAUUUUCUUUCUUUUUUUAGUUCUUUGCCCUGUAGGUGUUUGACAGUAUUUUGUAUUUAGGUGAGCUCAAUCUAAAAACUAAGCAGAUUAAGUGGAAUGCUAUAUAACUAGUUAGAAUAGCUUUAAUUUAAAAGGUAUUUUAAGAGGGAAAGAUUUUUAACUUCACAGGUUUCUGUCAAAGGAUAUAUUUAAUCUUUAAAAUGAGUGGCACCAUUUCAUUAUAUUUCAUUUUAUUAGAUAAUGUUGUUCAGUAGCUCAUUUGAGAAAUUCCAUUCCUCUGAUGAACGAACUGUGGACAGACUUUUCCUCAUCUAGGGUUUAUAAGGAAACUUCUUGCACUUUACCAGCAAAUUUAUUUGCUAAUGUUUCAACUGAAAUUUCACAAGAGUUUUGUAACAUGCUAACUCUGUGUAUGGGCAACAGAAUGACUUACAUGAGAGAAUAUAACUGCUGUUUGGAUCAUUUGCUAUGUAUGGCAUUGCAAACAUUUAAAGUAUCAGGAUUUGUUAAUGGAAUUGAUCAGCCCCUUGGAAAUUAUAAAGGCUUUCUACUUGUGUGUUUAUUAUUCUUGUUAAAAAUAUGGAUCAGUCUCUUUCCUAAAUGUUCAUUUUAUGAGGGAGGAUUUUCUAAAAUAAAUGAUUAUUUAAUGUGCAUAUAUGAUAGAACAAACUACUAUAACUUUUUUAAAGUCUUAUCAAUUGAAUUAAUACUGUUUAGAAAAAUAUGUUGUAGUUACAAAUGCAGCUAAUCCAGUAUUCUCAACAUUUUUUCAUUAUAAAUAUAAUUAUGUUGAAGAAAUACAUAAAUGCCCAAUUAAAAAGUGACUGCGGUUAGGAGUUGAAAAUAUUUAUUAAUAUGCCUCUGGAUUUUGUUCUGUUUGAAUUUUGAGAAUGUGUUUCUAGAUUUAAGAAGCAACACAAGCUUUUUUUCCCAGAAGGCUUCCUAUUAUUGAAAUGGAAAUUAUACAUUAAUGACUGUAUAACACUAGUAGAUAUUUUUAAAAUGCAAGAGCAUCUUCUUAGAUCAUUACUUUUCCUUGGAAUGCUUGGCCCCUGUAAUAUAAUACACCGGUAUUUUGCAUGAUGAAAUUGAUGUCCUGUGUGUUGCUUCAUGUUGCUAUCCUAGCUGCCGAUUAAAACGUUUUUUUUUUUUCAUGCCAGAGCAGAACAAAAUUGUCUGCUUCUCAAUCUGCACAUCAUAAGCAGAUGACAUUAAAAAUGUCUGUAAGAUGACACAGCUAUAUUUUCUGGGAGAGGGCGGGAGGAUGCUCAGCGAGGGUGGCCCGGAGUGUCCUUGUACAGAGUACAGAUGUUAUGAAGUGGGGAAGACCAGCCUGUGUUCAUUGAUUCACCUAUUGAUUCCAGGAGCAAGCUCACCCUGUUUCAUACACUGCUCAGGAGGUAAACAGGAGGAAG
rnacentral:lncRNA from 1 species